rnacentral:rRNA from 1 species
AACGAACGCUGGCGGCAUGCCUUACACAUGCAAGUCGAACGGUAACGGGCCUUCGGGUGCCGACGAGUGGCGAACGGGUGAGUAAUGUAUCGGAACGUACCUUUCAGUGGGGGAUAACGUAGCGAAAGUUACGCUAAUACCGCAUAUUCUGUGAGCAGGAAAGCAGGGGAUCGCAAGACCUUGCGCUGAUUGAGCGGCCGAUAUCAGAUUAGCUAGUUGGUGAGGUAAAGGCUCACCAAGGCUACGAUCUGUAGCGGGUCUGAGAGGAUGAUCCGCCACACUGGAACUGAGACACGGUCCAGACUCCUACGGGAGGCAGCAGUGGGGAAUUUUGGACAAUGGGGGCAACCCUGAUCCAGCCAUGCCGCGUGAGUGAAGAAGGCCUUCGGGUUGUAAAGCUCUUUCGGCCGGGAAGAAAUCGUAUCAGCUAAUACCUGGUGCGGAUGACGGUACCGGCAUAAGAAGCACCGGCUAACUACGUGCCAGCAGCCGCGGUAAAAC